rnacentral:rRNA from 1 species
GACGAACGCUGGCGGCGUGCUUAACACAUGCAAGUCGAACGGGAAGGCCCUACUUUUGUGGGGUGCUCGGGUGCCGAACGGGGGAGUAAGACGUGGGUAACCUGCCCUGUACUUUGGGAUAACUUCAGGAAACUAGGCCUAAUACCGGAUAUGAGCUUCUGCUGGAUGGUAGGCGGUUGAAAGUUUCGGCGGGUGGGGAUGGACUCGCGGCUUAUCAGCUUGCUGGUGUGGUAGUGGCUUACCAAGGCUUGGACGGGUAGCCGGCCUGAGAGGGUGACCGGCCACAUUGGGACUGAGAGAGGGAACAGAAUCCUAAUCUGGGCAGCAGUGGAGAAUAUUGCACAAUGGGCGGAGGCCUGCCGCAGCCACGCCGCGUGCGGGAUGACGCCCUUCGGGUUGUGAAGCGCUUUCGCCUGUGACGAAGCGUGCGUGACGGUAAUGGGCAAAGAAGCACCGGCUAACUACGUG